GAUGUUAACAAAAGUUGUUCGUCUUGAUGAGGGCUACAACUUUGCUUAAUAUCCUUUCAACAAAUUAUGCGUAUUUAAGGAGAUAGGGCUGCACAUGCGCAGAACGUAUCUCCUUACCUUUGCACUUUUUGGUAAGAAGAUGUUACCAAAAGUUGUUCGUCAUGAUGAGGGCUACAACUUUGCUUAAAAUCCUUUCAAGAAAUUAUGCGUAUUUAAGGAGAUAGGCCUGCGCAUGCGCAGAACGUAUCUCCUUACCUUUGCACUUUUUGGUAAGAAGAUGUUAACAAAAGUUGUUCGUCUUGAUGAGGGCUACAACUUUGCUUAAUAUC
rnacentral:miRNA from 1 species